AGCGAACGCUGGCGGCAGGCUUAACACAUGCAAGUCGAACGCCCCGCAAGGGGAGUGGCAGACGGGUGAGUAACACGUGGGAACGUACCCUUCGGUUCGGAAUAACUUGGGGAAACUCAAGCUAAUACCGGAUAAGCCCUUAUGGGGAAAGGUUUACUGCCGAAGGAUCGGCCAGCGUCUGAUUAGCUAGUUGGUGAGGUAAUGGCUCACCAAGGCGACGAUCAGUAGCUGGUCUGAGAGGAUGAUCAGCCACACUGGGACUGAGACACGGCCCAGACUCCUACGGGAGGCAGCAGUGGGGAAUAUUGGACAAUGGGGGCAACCCGGAUCCAGCCAUGCCGCGUGAGUGAUGAAGGCCUUAGGGUUGUAAAGCUCUUUUACCCGGGACGAUAAUGACUGUACCGGGAGAAUAAGCCCCGGCUAACUUCGUGCCAGCAGCCGCCGUAA
rnacentral:rRNA from 1 species